rnacentral:lncRNA from 1 species
AGAAUUUGGGAGAAAAGUUCACAUUUGUGGGCAGGCCAGGACCUAGAAACCAAUCACUGGAGAAGUGGGUGGAAUAUCAAGAGAAAAUGUUAGAGCUGAAACCAAAGGAGGAGAGAUUUCAGAAAAAUUGUCACAAUUAUAAGAUGCAGUGGAGAGAUCCUAAGAGAGCAUUCCUUUUAUGAGGAGUACAGCAUUGGAACCUUGGCUAGCAGCAGUUAGUGAUGGUGUGGUGAGGGCAGGGUCAUGCUGCCUCACCAGGAAAACGGGGGGGUGGGGGGUGGGGGGGUGCAGAGAAUAAGGGCGGGAACGUACUGCACUCUUUCGAGAGAAGUUUGAUAAGGAAAGAAAGGAAAGAGAGGGGAGGUUUUUACAGGGAGACACAUUGAGUGAAUUCUCUUUGUUCCUGCACUUGAGCAUAGUAUUUUUAGACUGAAGAGAAGUAGCUACUGGGGAGGAAAAGGGAAAUGAUUGAAGAUGAGAGAGCAAGAGCAAAGACUAAAUGGAACNNNNNNNNNNNNNNNCUCCAGGGAGCUUAUUUCCAUUACAUAAUUCACUAAACAAAUGUGGAUUCAUUUCUGUUUCAGUUCUAGCGUCUUCUGACUGGAAGUGUGAUUUCUGGCUAUACAUUGCCAUGUCUUCCCUGCCCCCCCCUUGACACACACCCCAGCAACUGCUCUGGGGAGUGCCUUUGCAAAGAUACCUCAUCCCUGGCAGCGGGGACCGGAAGACAUGUGCGGGCAAUGCUUUUUGCCCAGUUGGAAUAAAGGGCAGCAUCCCCAGGACAGCUAGGAACUGAGGCGGACCAGCUCUGCUGUGACACAGCCCUGAAGGCGGCUAGCGCAUCUUCGGGAUGAGGGGCCCCCCUUUAUCCCUGAUAUAUCGCCUGUCUCAUUAUGCUUAACAUCUCAAACGUUAUUAAUUUUUAAUUAUUUACAUUUAAUCAUCUGCCUUACUUAAGCAUCCAAAUUCCACAGCUAAUGUUCUCCAUGAAAUAUUUACUAAACAAUCAAUCCUCUUGGAUUCCCUAGAACUGAGUGUUUUCAAUUUGCAGCAAACCUCUCCUCCAGGAGGCUGUCUUCACAUACUCGUGUGCUGGAGGGACAUGGCUGUGCCCCGGGCGCUUGUGGCUUCAGCCGUGGCAUCCGCUUUGUCUCAGGGAUGUUCUGUCAACUAUAACGGGAUGGAUGGCCCUGCUUAGCAUUAGUGUUAGCAGGUUGAGUGCCAAGGGACACUCACACCAGCUCCCUUCUCAUUUCUCUUCUGUUGGGGCUGGAAAUGCAUUAACAAGGAGCCAGUUGUGUGGAUAGGAAAGCAAAACAACCCUUAUUUGUGGUCAAAAGGCAGAGGCAUGGUGAAAACUAAUCAUAGCUCCCAUAAGAGAGAGUCACUCACACAACUGAUCAACCAGCUGGCUUUUCCUUGCAAAACCAGGAGCCACUGUCAAUGGGAAAGCCAUUUCUAGAGCUGAGGCCAAGGGAAGUAGGCUUAUCAACCCUGCGCUCCCUGCCACAGACACCUGACACAAACAGCUCCCUCAUCCUUUGUGCAGAGGGAGGGGGCCCAGAGUCAACAAAUGUGAACUGGUUUCACUUAGUUUCCCAGCCGAGGAGCUAGGAGGAACUGUGUUAAGUUACCUAUGCUCACCAGGGCUGUGUCCCUUGCCACCUCCUAUAAGAUCACUGGGUGGGUAGAUUGUGUGAUGCAUCCAGCAGAGUGGUUGAGAGUAAGAGAUAUACAUUAGGCCUUCCUUCAUUCAUUCCACAAGUAUUUACUGGUCUCGUGCCAUGUGCCAGGCACUGUGCCAGGCACUAGAGAGGCAGAAGCGAACAAGACAGACAUGGCAGCUACCUUCAUGGAAUUUCCAUUCCAGUGAGUGUAAGGCUCUGGGAUUUGAGUCAUGGUCUCCAACUACUAGCUGAAUGACUCUGGAUAAGUUAAUUAACCUCUCUUAUCUAAAAAUGGGAAUAAUCAGAGUACUUCCCUUGUAGAGUUGCUGUGAUGACUACUUAAUUAUUUCCAUACAAAUGCAUGUGAAACUCAGAAAUCAGAAGACUGGCUCAUUCGGCUGCUUUCACUGAGUUGUUGUAGCUUAGUUACACAUGUAUAGUUUCACUAAAGCUUGUAUUUGAGGCAGUUUACAGAAUCAGCAUUUUAAUUAAGAACAUUAUUAAAAUUAUUACUGCUUGGCGCAGCUCUAAUUUAAGGAGCAGUUGUAGACCAGAUACAAAUGAUGUGACUGUUGUGACCAGAUGUUACACAGGAAGGACUUCUAUGUUCAGGUAAAGUCAGUAGUAUAAUACCUAGUAUGGAGGAGUUCCUGCUGUGGCACAGUGAGUUAAGAAUCUGACUGCAGGGAGUUCCUUUCCCGUUGUGGUUCAGCGGAAAUGAAUCUGACUAGUAUCCAUGAGGACGCAGGUUUGAUCCCUGGCCUCGCUCAGUGGGUCAGGGAUCUGGCAUUGCUGUGAGAUGCGGCUUGGAUCUGGCAUUCACUGAGGCUAUGGCAUAGGCAGGCAGCUGCAGCUCGAAUUUGACCCCUAGCCUGGGAACUUCUAUAUGCUGUGAGCACAGCCCUAAAAAAAAAAAAAAAAAAAAAAA